UACGAAGGGGACUAGCGUUGUUCGGAAUUACUGGGCGUAAAGCGCACGUAGGCGGAUUUGUUAGUCAGGGGUGAAAUCCCGGGGCUCAACCUCGGAACUGCCUUUGAUACUGCAAAUCUCGAGUCCGAUAGAGGUGGGUGGAAUUCCUAGUGUAGAGGUGAAAAUUCGUAGAUAUUAGGAAGAACACCGGUGGCGAAGGCGGCCCACUGGAUCGGUACUGACGCUGAGGUGCGAAAGCGUGGGGAGCAAACAGG
rnacentral:rRNA from 1 species